UACGGGGGGAGCAAGCGUUGUUCGGAUUUACUGGGCGUAAAGGGCGCGUAGGCGGUCGUGACAAGUCACUUGUGAAAUCUCCGGGCUUAACUCGGAACGGUCAAGUGAUACUGUCGGACUAGAGUACAGAAGGGGCAACUGGAAUUCUCGGUGUAGCGGUGAAAUGCGUAGAUAUCGAGAGGAACACCUGCGGCGAAGGCGGGUUGCUGGGCUGACACUGACGCUGAUGCGCGAAAGCGUGGGGAGCGAACAGG
rnacentral:rRNA from 1 species